CUGAGACACGGCCCAAACUCCUACGGGAGGCAGCAGUGGGGAAUAUUGGACAAUGGGGGCAACCCUGAUCCAGCAAUGCCAUGUGUGUGAAGAAGGCCCUAGGGUUGUAAAGCACUUUAGUUGGGGAGGAAAGCCUCAAGGUUAAUAGCCUUGGGGGAGGACGUUACCCAAAGAAUAAGCACCGGCUAACUCCGUGCCAGCAGCCGCGGUAAUACGGGGGGUGCAAGCGUUAAUCGGAAUUACUGGGCGUAAAGGGUCUGUAGGUGGUUUGUUAAGUCAGAUGUGAAAGCCCAGGGCUCAACCUUGGAACUGCAUUUGAUACUGGCAAACUAGAGUACGGUAGAGGAAUGGGGAAUUUCUGGUGUAGCGGUGAAAUGCGUAGAGAUCAGAAGGAACACCAAUGGCGAAGGCAACAUUCUGGACCGAUACUGACACUGAGGGACGAAAGCGUGGGGAUCAAACAGGAUUAGAUACCCUGGUAGUCCACGCUGUAAACGAUGAGUACUAGCUGUUGGAGUCGGUGUAAAGGCUCUAGUGGCGCAGCUAACGCGAUAAGUACUCCGCCUGGGGACUACGGCCGCAAGGCUAAAACUCAAAGGAAUUGACGGGGACCCGCACAAGCGGUGGAGCAUGUGGUUUAAUUCGAUGCAACGCGAAGAACCUUACCUGGUCUUGACAUCCUGCGAACUUUCUAGAGAUAGAUUGGUGCCUUCGGGAACGCAGUGACAGGUGCUGCACGGCUGUCGUCAGCUCGUGUUGUGAAAUGUUGGGUUAAGUCCCGCAACGAGCGCAACCCCUAUUGAUAGUUACCAUCAUUAAGUUGGGUACUCUAUUGAGACUGCCGCUGACAAGGCGGAGGAAGGUGGGGACGACGUCAAGUCAUCAUGGCCCUUACGACCAGGGCUACACACGUGCUACAAUGGGUAUUACAGAGGGCUGCGAAGGUGCGAGCUGGAGCGAAACUCAAAAAGGUGCUCUUAGUCCGGAUUGCAGUCUGCAACUCGACUGCAUGAAGUCGGAAUCGCUAGUAAUCGCAGGUCAGAAUACUGCGGUGAAUACGUUCCCGGGUCUUGUACACACCGCCCGUCACACCAUGGGAGUGGGUUGCUCCAGAAGUAGAUAGCUUAACGAAUGGGCGUUUACCACGGAGUGAUUCAUGACUGGGGUGAAGUCGUAACAAGGUAGCCGUAGGGGAACCUGCGGCUGGAUCACCUCCUUAA
rnacentral:rRNA from 1 species